rnacentral:rRNA from 1 species
GACGAACCGUGCGAACGUUAUUCGGAAUCAUUGGGCUUAAAGAGCGCGUAGGCGGCGACGUAAGUUGGAAGUGAAAUCCCAUCGGCUCAACCGUGGAAUCGCUCCCAGUACUGCGUUGCUCGAGGGAGAUAGGGGCCUGUGGAACUGCCGGUGGAGCGGUGAAAUGUGUUGAUAUCGGCGGGAACGGCCAGUGGCGAAAGCGAACAGGCUGGACCUUUUCUGGACGCUGAGGCGCGAAAGCUAGGGGAGCAAACGGG